rnacentral:rRNA from 1 species
AGUGAACGCUGGCGGUAGGCCUAACACAUGCAAGUCGAACGGCAGCACAGUAAGAGCUUGCUCUUACGGGUGGCGAGUGGCGGACGGGUGAGGAAUACAUCGGAAUCUACUUUUUCGUGGGGGAUAACGUAGGGAAACUUACGCUAAUACCGCAUACGACCUACGGGUGAAAGCAGGGGAUCUUCGGACCUUGCGCGAUUGAAUGAGCCGAUGCCGGAUUAGCUAGUUGGCGGGGUAAAGGCCCACCAAGGCGACGAUCCGUAGCUGGUCUGAGAGGAUGAUCAGCCACACUGGAACUGAGACACGGUCCAGACUCCUACGGGAGGCAGCAGUGGGGAAUAUUGGACAAUGGGCGCAAGCCUGAUCCAGCCAUACCGCGUGGGUGAAGAAGGCCUUCGGGUUGUAAAGCCCUUUUGCUGGGAAAGAAAAGCAGCAGGUUAAUACCCCGCUGUUCUGACGGUACCCAAAGAAUAAGCACCGGCUAACUUCGUG